rnacentral:rRNA from 1 species
GAUGAACGCUGGCGGCGUGCCUAAUACAUGCAAGUCGAGCGAACUGAUUAGAAGCUUGCUUCUAUGACGUUAGCGGCGGACGGGUGAGUAACACGUGGGCAACCUGCCUGUAAGACUGGGAUAACUUCGGGAAACCGAAGCUAAUACCGGAUAGGAUCUUCUCCUUCAUGGGAGAUGAUUGAAAGAUGGUUUCGGCUAUCACUUACAGAUGGGCCCGCGGUGCAUUAGCUAGUUGGUGAGGUAACGGCUCACCAAGGCAAUGAUGCAUAGCCGACCUGAGAGGGUGAUCGGCCACACUGGGACUGAGCCACGGCCCAGACUCCUACGGGAGGCAGCGGUAGGGAAUCUUCCGCAAUGGACGAAAGUCUGACGGAGCAACGCCGCGUGAGUGAUGAAGGCUUUCGGGUCGUAAAACUCUGUUGUUAGGGAAGAAUAAGUACAAGAGUAACUGCUUGUACCUUGACGGUACCUAACCAGAAAGCCACGGCUAACUACGUGCCAGCAGCCGCCGUAACAC